rnacentral:rRNA from 1 species
GGCCUACCAUGGUGGUAACGGGUAACGGGGUGUUAGGGCACGACACCGGAGAGGGAGCCUGAGAAACGGCUACCACAUCCAAGGAUGGCAGCAGGCGCGCAAAUUACCCAAUCCCGACACGGGGAGGUAGUGACAAUAAAUAACAAUACGGGGUUCUUUUGGAUCUUGUAAUUGGAAUGAGUACAAUUUAAAUCUCUUAACGAGGAACAAUUGGAGGGCAAGUCUGGUGCCAGCAGCCGCGGUAAUUCCAGCUCCAAUAGCGUAUAUUAAAGUUGUUGCAGUUAAAGAGCUCGUAGUUGAAUUUCGAGACCGGUCUACUGGUCGUGCUUUUGUACGUACUGGUAUAAUCGGUUUCUCUCUUCUGACGAACUAUAAUGCCAUUAAUUUGGUGUUUUAGGGAAUCAGGACUGUUACUUUGAAAAAAUUAGAGUGUUUAAAGCAGGCUCACGCUUGAAUACAUUAGCAUGGAAUAACGAAAUAGGACGUUUGAUUUUAUUUUGUUGGUUUCUAGGAUCGACGUAAUGAUUAAUAGGGAUAGUUGGGGGCAUUAGUAUUCAAUUGUCAGAGGUGAAAUUCUUGGAUUUAUUGAAGACUAACUACUGCGAAAGCAUUUGCCAAGGAUGUUUUCAUUAAUCAAGAACGAAAGUUAGGGGAUCGAAGACGAUCAGAUACCGUCGUAGUCUUAACCAUAAACUAUGCCGACUAGGGAUCGGAUGAUGUUAAUUUUUUAAUGACUCAUUCGGCACCUUACG